rnacentral:rRNA from 1 species
AACGAACGCUGGCGGCAGGCUUAACACUUGCAAGUCGAACGCGAAAGGGAUUCGUCCCCGGUAGCGUGGCGUCCAGGUGAGUAAUACGUAGGAAUCUGCCCUAGAGUGGGGGAUAACCACGCGAAAGCGUGGCUAAUACCGCAUAAUCUCUACGGAGCAAAGGCCUCAUGUCUUCGGAUGUGAGGUCGCUUUAGGAUGAGCCUACGGCGGAUUAGCUUGUUGGUAGGGUAAUGGCCUACCAAGGCGACGAUCCGUAGCUGGUUUGAGAGAACGACCAGCCACAAUGGGACUGAGAUACGGCCCAGACUCCUACGGGAGGCAGCAGUGGGGAAUCUUGGACAAUGGGGGAAACCCUGAUCCAGCAAUGCCGCGUGUGUGAUGAAGGCCUGCGGGUUGUAAAGCACUUUCGGUGGGGAAGAAAUACUCAGGGCUAAUAACCCUGAGGGUUGACGUUACCCAUAGAAGAAGCACCGGCUAACUCUGUGCCAGCAGCCGCGGUAACAC